rnacentral:rRNA from 1 species
UACGUAGGUGGCAAGCGUUGUUCGGAAUUACUGGGCGUAAAGGGCGCGCAGGCGGCUCUGAAAGUCAGAUGUGAAAGCCCCGGGCUUAACCUGGGAAUUGCAUUUGAUACUCUGGAGCUUGAGUGUGGGAGAGGAGAGUGGAAUUCCCAGUGUAGAGGUGAAAUUCGUAGAUAUUGGGAAGAACACCGGUGGCGAAGGCGGCUCUCUGGACCACAACUGACGCUGAGGCGCGAAAGCUAGGGGAGCAAACAGG